AAGUCGUAACAAGGUUUCCGUAGGUGAACCUGCGGAAGGAUCAUUAAUGAAUGAAUGUAGAGUCGGUUGUAGCUGACCUCCUAGAGGUAUGUGCACGCCUUCUCUUUCAUCCACACACCCCUGUGCACUUGUGAGACAGAGGCAUUUGUUUUCCUUUAAUUGGGGAACGGGUCUCUGUCUACAUCACAUAAAAUCUAAUUUAUUUAAAACUGAAUGUAAUUGAUGUAACGCAUCUAAUACAAAGUUUCAACAACGGAUCUCUUGGCUCUC
rnacentral:misc_RNA from 1 species